UAGUGAAAGAGAUGUUGAUGGAGUUUCCUGAUGUUGGAGGUGACCUGAAGCAGCUUCUCCAAAUGAUCGACGCUGGCCAAGCUGUUGACAUAAAGGGUAUCUCUGAGAGGUCUUUAAUCAAGCAUCUGAAGAAGCUUUUUGUUUCCUUGAACCUCAAAGAAAAUGGAGAUAGAUUAUUUUUGCUGCCUUCAAAUACUUGUCCUACCUUGGAGCUUGUUGGACCCCUCAUCGAGGCCCAUAUAGAAUCUAAAAAGCAACGGCUUGAUGAUGUGCAUUCUGUAGCGCCUGCUGCAGAAAGUAAACAACUUUCAGAUGACAACAACUCGGUAAUGCCAUCUCCAGGAGAUGAUGCUUCUGGUCCAAGAAGAAGGAUGAUU
rnacentral:misc_RNA from 1 species